CAUGUGUGGACACACCAAGCCUCUGUGCUCCACCUCCUUGUGAUCUGGCAACCCCACAACUGGCAAAUCUAACAAGCAAACAAUCAACUCUCCAAUCUGCACCGACUAGACCUCCAGCUAAUCUUCUAUGGCUGAAGUAAUAAUUUCAGCCUCCCUAGAUACAACAGAUCCCUCCAACUGGUACAAACAACUCCUCAAUCUCCUCCCUCUCAUCACAAUCC
rnacentral:lncRNA from 1 species